rnacentral:rRNA from 1 species
AGCGAACGCUGGCGGCAGGCCUAACACAUGCAAGUCGAACGAAGCCUUCGGGCUUAGUGGCGGACGGGUGAGUAACAAGUGGGAACGUACCUUUUGGUUCGGAAUAACGCAGAGAAAUUUGCGCUAAUACCGAAUGAGCCCUUCGGGGGAAAGAUUUAUCGCCGAAAGAUCGGGCCGCGUUGGAUUAGGGAGUUGGUGUGGUAAAGGCGCACCAAGCCUACGAUUCAUAGCUGGUCUGAGAGGAUGAUCAGCCACACUGGGACUGAGACACGGCCCAGACUCCUACGGGAGGCAGCAGUGGGGAAUCUUAGACAAUGGGCGCAAGCCUGAUCUAGCCAUGCCGCGUGAGCGAUGAAGGCCUUAGGGUUGUAAAGCUCUUUCAGUGGGGAAGAUAAUGACGGUACCCACAGAAGAAGCCCCGGCUAACUCCGUGCCAGCAGCCGCCGUAAUAC